UACGAAGGGUGCAAGCGUUACUCGGAAUUACUGGGCGUAAAGCGUGCGUAGGUGGUGAGUUAAGUCUGUCGUGAAAGCCCCGGGCUCAACCUGGGAAUGGCGAUGGAUACUGGCUCGCUAGAGUGCGGUAGAGGAGAGUGGAAUUCCUGGUGUAGCGGUGGAAUGCGCAGAUAUCAGGAGGAACACCAAUAGCGAAGGCAGCUCGCUGGGACGGUACUGACGCUGGAGGCGCGAAAGCCGUGGGGAGCGAACAGG
rnacentral:rRNA from 1 species